AUGUACUUCCCCAGAUUUGAUGGCUCCAAACCCCAUGAGUGGCUCAGAUUGACAGAGAAAUACUUUGCUAUGGUCUUUGUCCCAGAAAAUGGAAAGUUUGAUUAUGCACAGAUGUACAUAACUGGGAAAGCGGAUACCUGGUUAAGGAAUUCAGAAAAUGCUAGAGAUAUGGAGCAAGGAGCAACUGCUAAUGCCAAUGCUGCAAGUAGAAGAUAUAUGGCCCACAGCUCAUUUGCAAAGAGCACUGCUACCACCUCAUUUCCCAGCAAAUCUCUGAAUAGAUACCCAGAGAGCAACAUAGCUAAAAUAGGAGAAUAA
rnacentral:rRNA from 1 species